GUUAGAUGCCGCGCAUGCAUUGGCAAAUCAACGAUCAAUUUCUCGUUCCACUUUGGAAAACCUCCACCUUCUUUAUCCAGUUUAGUUGUUUGGAGGUUGCAUGAAUAAGAUUCUGUUUUGAUAUUUACGAAGGCGUUCUUCUUCACCGGUCGAUUUCUGUUAUCUAGAAGAUUCUCGCCCGACAUUACCGUUAUUUCUAACAAACGCGAAGAAGAUGAUAAUGGCUUCAUUGUAAUUAUUAUAGUAUCCCGG
rnacentral:misc_RNA from 1 species